rnacentral:tRNA from 3 species
GGGCGCGUGGCCUAGUCAGGAUAAGGCGGCAGCCUCCUAAGCUGUAGAUCGGGGGUUCGAAUCCCCCCGCGCCCGC